rnacentral:lncRNA from 1 species
AUGGCGGGUGGUCGUGACCUGCGCCCCCGGCCGGGGUCACUCACCAGCCUCGCUCUGGUUGUAGCGGCGGAGCAGGUUCCUCAGGGCCACUCGGUCAGUCUGUGCGUUGGCCUUGGCGUACCCUGUGGUCCACUCCCAAUACUGCGGCCCCUCUUGCUCCACCCACGGCUCCCGCGGCUCCAUCCUCGGAAUCGCGGCGUCGCUGUCGAACCGCAGGAAUUGCGUGUCGUCUACGUACUCCACGGCGAUGUAGCGGGGCUCCCCGCGGCCGGGCCGCGACACAGCGGUGCUGAAAUACCUCAAGGAGUGGGAGCCUGGGGGCGAGGAGGGGCUGAGACCCGCCAGACCCUCCUCCGGGCGCGGCUCCCUGAGUCCUGCGCCCCCACCGGGCGGGCCCCUCACUCCUCCCCACAGAGGCCGUUUCUCUCUGGACCCCGCACUCACCUGCCCAAGUAUCGGUCAGGGCCAGGGCCCCUGAGAGCAGCAGGAGGAGGCUUCGGGGCGCCAUGACCCCAACCUCCGCGUCUGGGAAAAAUAUGAGUCCCGCGGGGUGCGUGGGACUUUAGAACCUGGGAACUGCGGCGACACUGAUUGGCUUCUCUAGAAACCCGACGCCCAAUGGGAGUGAGAAAUGGGGCCGCGUUAUGAGUAACCAGGAAGAAGGACCUGACACGGGUUGGGAGAGAAAGAGAAACUCUGGGGAGAUGGGGAAUUCUCAAUACUGAGCCUCCCAACCCCAGACACCGCCUCGGGGCCUGAGCCCUUGAGAGCCACUCCUGGGGCCCUGGGACUUUGCCCUCCCCCUCCCCCUCCCCCUCCUGUGCAGGGUGUGUCUCAAUGUCUCCCUGAGUCUUCGCCCGGGGGCUGAGAAACCAGGGAGAAACCUUCGGCAUGGACCCAGUCCAUCUCCCUUCAUUAUUCAUUCCGAAAUCCCAGUCCCUUGAUUGAACUUUCUGCCUCCCAUUCCAUACCUGGACUCCCCGGACUCUUU